AAGGACUUAGUUUAAAUAAAACAUUAACUUGUCAAGUUAAAAAUAUCAAAUAGAUAAUUCUUA
rnacentral:tRNA from 1 species